GAACGUGUGCACCUGCCCAGCAGGAACUUGUCAGGUUUUACUGGCCUUGUGAAGGACUCCUUUGUUUUCUUGUCCCAGGAAGAUUUUAUAUGGCAGCACAGAUGAAAAAAUGCAAGAACACCUCAAAGCAGACUGGCUUCUACAGCAGCAAACACCUAUCAACAGCCUGCCCCCAAUUCACCCUUCCUUUUUGAAGAAAUGAACAGAACCUAAGAUUUCUGACAUCAUAUCUUUGGGAUCUUCACAGUAGGGAAGUGCUGGCCUUGGAGUCCAAAGAUUUUCCCAGCUAUCAUUUGAAUUAAGGAUUGUGGUGUUUUCUUCUGUAAACAGAUUGCUUCAGCGCCAAAAGAAUGAACUAGAAAAGAACAGGCAAGACAUAGGAGUGUUAUACGGAAGAAAGAUAUUAAGAGACUUAAAGAUGUACUUCCUCAUUAUAUGUAAGAAAGCUAUUUCUUA